AUGCCCGCGGUCUCAGCGGGAACCACAGCCUUUCCUUCCCUUUCCUGGAAUAAGAACUGCUGUUGGCCUGGUUGGGUCACCAUGGGCCAAUCACUGUGCUCCGAUCAGAGGGCUCCUAUUGGCCAGCCUGAGUCACGUGCCACCCCGGAAGAGGGAAGUAAACUUGUGAUUGGACUGGGUCCACCACGUGGUAGAGGGACAGGUGUUGAAAGUAAAAGGGCUUUGCCACCGGGAGAAGGCAGUGAAGGAUUCUGGGUAGACAAAGUGAGAUACCUGCUGAGCACAACACCACGGUCUCCCUCAAGCUAGAAGGCUGAGCCCCAGAGAUGAACCUACCAGUCUGCUCUGCAGUCAGCUCCCCAGCACCACCUCACACGAGCUGGGUAACCUUAGGUAAGUCAUGUCACCUACCUGAGCCUCGAGUUCCUGAUCAGCGAAAUAGGUAUGAUACUAUCACUUUUCUCACUAUGGGUCUAUUUUGAGGGGUAAUGGAGCAGUGCCUGGCAGAAGUGUAUCAAUAUCAGCAGUGAAGGUGGGGUCAGAGCUCAGGCAGCUUAUAGCACAUAGUAGUUAAGAUGACAGGAUUUGAAAUCAGACACAUCUGCUUUUCAAAACUGCUUCUUAUCAAGAGUGUGAAAUUGGUGUUCUGGCAGAGCGUACUUUGUGGCGGUAUGGAUAUUAACAUAAGAUAACCGGGUGAAAGCACUAGCCCAGUGCCUGGCCCAAAGGCGCUGUCCAUGGUGGUUUUGCAUUGUUUUCGUUGCUUUUAGUUAGUGUGGAAGGUUAACAGUACAGUGUUAUGAGGACUGAAAAUUUAAUAUGGGCUGUUUUACUUCCAGAGAAGAUGCUUGGGGAGAAUUUUCUGUAGCUUCUUCAUCGCUCUCUAAAGACUAGAAGAAACAGUACAGUGGAGGCAAUUUGGGAAUUCCAAAUGUCUCUUUGAUUUGUUUGCCCCUUCUUUUCCAGAAGGAAGAAAAUAAAAGGCAGAAAGCCGAGGGGCCA
rnacentral:lncRNA from 1 species